UGAAUACGAGAUGCUACGGCGUCGAAGCAGUCUAUGUCAUACUUCCAAGAAAAGCUUGCACUGUCAUAAACAAAUAAUGCCUGUACCAUAACCGACACAGGUGGGUAGGUAGAGUAUACUAAGGGGCGCGAGAUAACUCUCUCUAAGGAACUCGGCAAAAUGACUCCGUAACUUCGGGAGAAGGAGUGCCUUAUUUUAUAAGGUUGCAAUAACAAGAUCCAAGCAACUGUUUACCAAAAACACAGGUCUCCGCUAAGUCGUAAGACGAUGUAUGGGGGCUGACGCCUGCCCAGUGCCAGAAGGUUAAAGAAGUUGGUUAGCAUCCGCGAAGCUGAUAACUGAAGCCCUGGUGAACGGCGGCCGUAACUAUAACGGUCCUAAGGUAGCGAAAUUCCUUGUCGGGUAAGUUCCGACCCGCACGAAAGGCGUAAUGAUUUGGAUACUGUCUCAGAGAGGGGCUCGGUGAAAUAGACUUGUCUGUGAAGAUGCGGACUACCUGCACCAGGACAGAAAGACCCUAUGAAGCUUUACUGUAACUUGAAAUUGAAAUUGGACUUUACUUGCGCAGUAUAGGUGGGAGGCGUUGAGAACAUUCUUGCGGGAAUGUUGGAGCCAUCAGUGAGAUACCACUCUUGUAAUGUUAGAUUUCUAACUUUGUAUCAUUAUCUGGUCAAAGCACAGUUUCAGGCGGGCAGUUUGACUGGGGCGGUCGCCUCCCAAACGGUAACGGAGGCGCACAAAGGUUUCCUCUGAACGGGUAGAAAUCGUAUCUAGAGUGUAAAGGCAUAAGGAAGCUUGACUGUGAGACCUACAAGUCGAGCAGGGACGAAAGUCGGUCUUAGUGAUCUGACGGUGCUGAGUGGAAAGGCCGUCACUCAACGGAUGAAAGUUACUCUAGGGAUAACAGGCUGAUCUCCCCCAAGAGUUCACAUCGACGGGGAGGUUUGGCACCUCGAUGUCGGCUCAUCGCAUCCUGGGGCGGUAGUACGUCCCAAGGGUUGGGCUGUUCGCCCAUGAAAGCGGUACGCGAGCUGGGUUCAGAACGUCGUGAGACAGUUCGGUCCAUAUCCGGUGUAGGCGUUAGAAUAUUGAGAGGAGCCUUCUUUAGUACGAGAGGACCGAGAAGGACAUACCUCUGGUGUACCAGUUAUCGUGCCAACGGUAAACGCUGGGUAGCUAUGUAUGGAGUGGAUAACCGCUGAAAGCAUCUAAGUGGGAAGCCCACCUCAAGAUAAGUAUUCUC
rnacentral:rRNA from 1 species